rnacentral:rRNA from 1 species
AGUGAACGCUGGCGGUAGGCCUAACACAUGCAAGUCGAACGGCAGCACAUUAAGAGCUUUCUCUUACGGGUGGCGAGUGGCGUACGGGUGAGGAAUACAUCGGAAUCUACUUUUUCGUGGGGGAUAACGUAGGGAAACUUACGCUAAUACCGCAUACGACCUACGUGUGAAAGCAGGAGAUCUUCGGACCUUGCGCGAUUGAAUGAGCCGAUGUCGGAUUAGCUAGUUGGCGGGGUAAAGACCCACCAAGGCGACGAUCCGUAGCUGGUCUGAGAGGAGGAUCAGCGGCAUUGGAACUGGGACACGGUCCAGAGUACUGCGGGAGGCAGCAGUGGGGAAUAUGGGACAAUGGGCGCAAGCAUGACCCAGCGAUCGCGAGUGGGUGGAGAAGGCCCUCGGGUUGUAAAGCCCUUUUGUUGGGAAAGAACAGCAGCAGGCCAAUACCAAGCUGUUCUGACGGUACCCAAAGAAUAAGCACCGGCUAACUUCGUG